AUGUUAAGGUGUUUUCAAUUUUUAUUUAUUUAUUUGAAUUGAAAAGGUAGUUCAACUUUAAAAGUGGAUGUUAUAUAAGUAUUUACAAUAUACAAUCCCGCCUCCUGUAGUAGAAAUUUCUGGAUCCGUUCCUGCCUGCAAAAAUAUCUUUCUAGCUAUUCUCUUCGACUUCUCCAACAUCUCUGAGUUGCUUUCUAAAAUAUUUUCUUUUUUUAUCCAAGACCUUUAUAACUUCAACAUCAAGGUUUAUAAGUUGUGAGUCAGUGUGUAGUAUGUACUUGUGUAGGGUGAUAUAAAUAUGCAAGAACUACAAAUAAAGCGAGAAGGCCAUCAAAAGGAAACUACCUGUUGUACCACUGAUUUGUUGAUAAAAAAGCAACAAUCUGAGGCUGAUUUGGACCCUGUGCCAAAUAAUUUGCUCAACAAUCAUUUUAG
rnacentral:lncRNA from 1 species